rnacentral:lncRNA from 1 species
UUUAUCUUUGUCACUUCUCUUUCAUAAGCUUAGUCUUCUCACUCAUAAUUUUAGUCCUCCAUCUUCUCUCUACCCUUUUUGCUUUGGUCGCGUGGCUCUUCAUCUACCUCGGCGCCGCUCGUUACCCUUUCUCAUUCGAUCAGUCGCCGGUGAUCUUUGGCCGCACUUUUUUGGAUCGCAAAACCCUAGACAUCGUCGGAUCGCUUCUCAUCUCUAACGUUCUGAUCAGAUUGGCCAUCGUGUGCCCUUCUGGUCAGAUCUGGGAGGUCUUUAAGGUAUUUUUUGGUGCUACAUGCGAGGAGUGCACUGUUUCUUGAGGUAUGUAUAGCUUCUCAAUAAACCUCAAUUUACAAUAGCAUGCUUGAUUUUUAUCAGUGUAUUUUGUUUUGUUUAUCUUUGAUUGUUGAUUAACUUAAAUACUGAUUGGAUGUUUAACGAAUUACAGUUGUCAAUUUAUGCUUUUAAUGAAAAGCUAGGAUAAUAAUCUUUCUGGUAGUCAUUUACAGGUUUUGAGAUUGGGAAUAGGAACGGUGGUUUUUGGAAUACUGAUAUAUCUGUUUGAUUAGCAAUUUCUUUCUAUCCUUUUUUCCCUUCGUGAUGUUUCAUAUGGCUCUAUAAAUAUUUUGAAGUUUUAUGUGGAACCCAAAUGAUUUCAUUACUUGUUCAACAGAGGGAUUUAUUACUCGUUAUAGCCUAAUUGCUUUGAUACUGAUUAGGGAGCCUGCAAUUGGAUACAAUAGAUAAUAUGUUGGUUUUUUAGUCUUACUAUUGGACUAUGUGUUUUUAAGGCUUAAUACAACUUUUUGACAAGUACUGUACUGAAUGUCAUUAGAUGUUGAAUAUAUGACCAGAGUGGUCACAUAUUGACGUUGAUUUUGAUUUUGAUGUUGAUGUUGGAGUAAAUAUGUUUAUCAAAUUAUGGACUUAUAUUAUCCCUGUAAUUUAAGACUGCAGCCUGUCAAAUAUCAUUACUGAAUUCUUGCGCCCGCAUUUUGACAAGUAAUUGUAAUUUAUAUUUAAUAUUAAUAUAAACUACCUCCUAAAUGUUGUGAAAAGCAGCAGUAGCAGACACCUUGGGGAAUAUUUAACAAUUUGAACAUGUAUAUCUCGACUCCAUUGUCAGUCAAAUGCUUCUACCUUCCAGUAAUCUAGUAUCAAACGUAUCUUUACCAAAACAAUCAAUUAUGAAGCUUAGCCAUAUAUGGCAGAACAUUGCACCCAAGUUCAGGUUGCAUAUCACUUUGUUGAACUUCAAAAUCUGUAGCAUAUAUAGAGGAAAGGGAGCAGUGUUUCGGUUGGUUAAGAGGAGGAACAAAACAGAAAAACAAGUGUCCAUCUCACUAUUUUGAAGCCUGGAAGAAAGCAGCCCAACAAGGUCUAAUAAAUUGAACAUUUUCCAUUCCUUUUCCAUCCCAUUAUGAUCAUUGCAUAAGCUGAGUAGUGGCCGGGUGGCUUAGAUUGGACUGUUACAUAGAAGUUCAAUUUUUGGACUGUUUUGUGUUAAUGAUUUGGCUAUAUGUUUUAGAGUGUAUUAUUGUGACUGUGUGGAUAUGGUAAUAUAGCUGUCUUAUUGUUGUUUUGUGCUAUAAGGCUGGGUCAAAAUGUCUAAGAUGUAUGCUUUAUAUGUAAGUAUGUGGACUGCUCACCAUAUGUUUGAUAAAGUGACUAAAUGAGGGCUGAUAUAGCAUCCUUAUAUACUAGCUGUGUGAACAGUCCCAGAUCAUGUAUAUAUACCAUUUUGGCAAGCCAAUGUUUCAAGCAUACUCCUAUGCUAUAAUGUAACAUGAUUUAUAGUAGCUUGUGAUAACUAUGAUAGCUCACAAGUAGGUUACAUGAAUUACAAGGGGCUGUUAUAUCAAGCUUAAUAGUGAUUGGUAUUUCUUACCUUUAAUAUGGUUUUAUGAUAUAACAUGUGAUAAAAUGCACCAAACCUUGAAUGCCAAAAUGAUAGAACAUAAUUAGUAUUUGCAUUUUAAAAAUGAACCUAAAACAGGGCAAAUAUGGGCCUGUUUUGAACAUGCCAGACUCAGCUCUGUCUUAGAAGUAUCCUUGUAUGCCAUUUAGGAAAUUAAGAAACUAAAAGUUAAGCUCAUAUAGUUAUAUUUAUGCAAGAGUUAGUUAUGAGGAAAUUCAAGUUAGUUUGUUUUGGGAAUUGGUAAAGGUGGUUAUCUUAAUUGUGGUCAUGUUAGUUAACCAUGGAAAUGAAAGAUUACAUGCUUAGUGUAUUGCAAAUUAGUGGAAAGUAAGAAGUUAGUAAACUAAUUAGUGUACUAUAUAUAUUCAUGUAUGCUUUUUACUGUUAUUGGAUCCUUGUGGACUGAAUUAGAGCCAUGGAGAUUAGUGUGGUUGUACGGAGCAAUAAGGUUGGCGAAAAUGGCUUGAUUAUGUAGCCCCCAACCUUUAGAAAUCAGUCCACAAUUUAGGCGUACGCGUUAUGUUUGAUAAAAUGCCAAAACAAGCUAAUUUAGCUAAAAACUUGGAAUUUUACGAAGCCGAGACUCUAAAACAGUCUUAACUACAUUAUAUAAGACUUAUUUGUGAAGAAAGUCAAGCUAGAAUGAGCCGGGGCGAGUCUUGUACGAAAAACGAAAAGUUAAAAAUUAGUGUGUCGGGCUACUUUGGGCUAACUAUUUCGGUUAAUUAAACUUGCUGGAAAAUUAUAGUUUUCUGGGGACUUAAAGUGUGUCAUACCAGCUGUCCAUAGACUCCAGAACGGACUCGUUCUGAGUUCGGACGAUCAAUUUAUGACAUGCCAAAGUGGGUGCGUCGAAACUGCCCAAAUCUGGAAAACAGAUUCGAAGCAGUCCCCUGGCACGAAUUUUCUGGAAUUCUGUGUUUUGAAUUUGGAAAUGGUCAAAGACUAAAUAUUGUAGUCCUGGAAUUUAGCUUCGCGUGGGUUCAAGAAUCACUUAAAAAUGUUGAGAAACGAAGGAGUUAUGAUCAUUUUAGGGAAGGAGGGUAGUGCAGUAUAAAAACAGAACAUUCUGUCCACUUAGAGCAGAUUUCUGUUCUGUUCGGUUUGGAAUUUGGAUUUGUGAUCUGAAGAGAAGUUGUAGUCCCGGAAGUUAGCUUCGCGUGGGCUCAAGAAUCUCUCAAAAAUGUUUUGAAACGAAAAAGUUAUGACUGUUUUAGCGAAAGAGGGUAAAGCCGAAAUGAAAGUGAAAAACUGUUAUGAACGUACAUUUUUGGCGCUCUAUUUGGGCUGCCUAAUGAACCCGAAAUGGGGGUUUCAUAUUUUUUAAAAAUAGUCUCAUAUGAUACGAAAAACAUACUUAAAUUUGAGAAUUUUCUGACAAGCGAGCAAGGCGUGAGAAAAUCGCAAAGUGGCUCAUUCGUUAUGCAAGGCAGCAGUCAGCGCUGUGCCAGUUGGGCGCGCACGCCGCGCCAUGCUGUUGGUGCAGUCGCUUGGCGGGCUUUUUGAGCGCUAUUUUGAUCAAUGUUCGUAGCUUGUUUUCGCUUUUAGAAAAUUUUUAAAUGUACUAUGUCAUAAGGUCUAUAACAUACUAGAAAUUCGCCACGAUUCGAUUAAUAGUUUAAGAAUUAAAAAUGAGCGAAGGAGCAUGUCAGAACAUAAAAACGGACGACGCCGAGCGUAGCCGCUGUGGGCUAUUUGACGUUCGGCAUUCCGGAUCUUGUUUGGGCUAGAUUUUAACCAAUGUUAAGUCUAAUAAAGUCCCAAGAGAUAAAUUUUGACGUUAUGUGAUAAGUUAUGCCACGAAAACUCAAUACGGGCAUAAAUAAUGUAAUAAAAAUAUAAUGUAAAUAUAAAGUUACAUAUUUAAGAGAGAUAAGCCGAAAAUAGUAUGUGAAAAUGGUUUUUUAUAGCAAAACUAAAAGUAUAGAACCAUUAGAAAAUUGUAAUGAACAUAAAAGUGAUGAAAUAAAGGUUUUGGAGUUCAAAAUGGCAAUUUUGAGUUAAGAUUUAUGUUAUGACGUAUAUAUACAUAUAUUUAAUAUAUAUACGAAGCAAGGAUGUAAGUUAUUCAUGAAACAAAGUGCGAAACUAAUUUGCUAAUGAAAUAGAAUAUUUGUGUAUGAGGCAAUGGGCCGAGUUAACUUAUGAGCUAUCAAAAAGGUAUAAAAAUAAUGUAAAUAAAGGAAAUGAUAUAGUAAGUCGUGCUUUACUAUAAAAGGUAUAAACUAAUCAUUUAAAUCUCGAAUUUGCGAGUAAAAGCAAAAGAUAUUUCUAAAAUGGGGUAUGGAUGGUUUGAACUUCAAGAAUGUGAAAUGUUUACAUAUUAAUGAUAUGAGAAAUCUUUAUUAUGCGUAAAAAGGUUAAAACGGACAAAGUUUUCAAAGGAACCUAAGAUGGUUUUAGGAUGGGAAUAAAAUAUUAUAGUUUAAAUAAACUAAUAAUCAUGGAUUAAAUAUAUGCAUGCAUGUUUUGUGACAUAGUUGGUUAUCUAAUGUGUGUAUAUGUAUAUAUGUAAACACAAUUGUAUAGGAUUUGUGGAGAGAAGCUAAGUUAAAUUUUUCGGUGAGACCUAUGAAAACAGAAGUUCACGUGAAUUGUAGGAUAAAAGAAUAAGACCUCAUGCACCAUGUGAAAUAUCAUCCUGUUAUAUGUAUUCAGUUGUUUAAGUUGUGGAAUAAAAAAUCUUAUUUGUAAGUACUAACUUAGAUGGAUCAAGGUUUUGUAAAUAUGUUUCCUCGAAAGGUCAAAUACUGGUGAAUCAGGUUAUUCAUUGAAUGUAUUUAAAGUAGGAUACUUCUUAAAAACUGUAUCUGUAUUGGACCUACAACAACAUGAUAUAUGUACCUAUGCAGUGCUUUUUAAGUACAUCGUAUCUUUCCUUCCUAAAAUCCACACCAAAUUCUUAUUUUAUGUGUAGCAUUUUUGUUAUCAUGACGUUGUAGUGUGGUAAAAAUAUCUGUUUUUUCUGUAUGCAUCUUUAGUUCAUAUACAAAGAACAAGUUAUGAGCAUGCUUAUAUAUAUAUAUAUAUAUAGAGCAAGGAUCAAGAACAUUCUCCUUAAAUAAGAUUUCUCCUUAAGUAGCACUCCUUUAUUAAAACUACGUCGUUUUGGAGUCUUUUUUAAAAAACAAGUGGGGCUGUGAGUGGUAUUUUUAUAAAUAAAAGGAAAGCAAGUGGGAACACUCUCUUUUAAAAGACUCCAAAACGACGUAGUUUUAAUAAAGGAGUGCUAUUUAAGGAGGAAUGCUAUUUAAGGGGAAUGCUCUUGAUCCUUGCUAUAUAUGAGUAAGGAUCAAGAACAUUCUCCUUAAAUAACAUUUCUCCUUAAGUAGCACUCCUUUAUUAAAACUACGUCGUUUUGGAGUCUUUUUUAAAAAACAAGUGGGGCCGUGAGUGGUAUUUUUAUAAAUAAAAGGAAAGCAAGUGGAAACACUCUCUUUUAAAAGACUCCAAAACGACGUAGUUUUAAUAAAGGAGUGCUAUUUAAGGAGGAAUGCUAUUUAAGGGGAAUGCUCUUGAUCCUUGCUAUAUAUAUAUAUAUAUAUGUGUGUGUGUGUGUGUGGGUUCAGAAGCAAAGUAUUUUCCUUUUUCUGUUUCUGUAUGUACGUGGACAACUGAAUUUGUUUUUACCUCGAACAUGGUUGCACUUUAUUAGCUGAUUUCUCUAGCCCAACCCUGUUUAACAGAUGAAUCUUAUGUUGGGAGAUAUACCAAGUCUUUUAGACCUUAUAUGGUCAUGGAUAUCACCUUCUGAAGAUGACCUAAUGUCUUCAGGUAAGUUCUUGUAAUUUGUUGUGGUUGAGGGGUGGUUUUCACUAUUAAAUGAUUCUGUUUCUAUAGUUUGACGUAUAUCAUGAAAACUUUCCAUAUCCUAGCUGUGAUAUUAAGGAGAGGCUUGUUAGUUUCCUCCAAAAAGGAAACUAUGCUGAUAUUUCUUGCGAGGUUUCUCGGAGUGAAUUUUCGAAUGUAGACUGUUGUUUCAUAUUCCCCCCCNNNNNNNNNNNNNNNNNNNNNNNNNNNNNNNNNNNNNNNNNNNNNNNNNNNNNNNNNNNNNNNNNNNNNNNNNNNNNNNNNNNNNNNNNNNNNNNNNNNNNNNNNNNNNNNNNNNNNNNNNNNNNNNNNNNNNNNNNNNNGACCUCAUUCUUCACAUGUAAGUAAUUAUGUUACUUUCUGUCAUAGAUUAAUGUACUUGUGUGAUUGUGCACCUUGAAAUUCAAUAAAUAAUAGUAGUCUAUUUUGAAGAAAUCUUAGAUAAUGAUAUUUUAUCUCUCUGGCGGUUUUCUUAUUAUGAAGUCUUGAUUUCAUUCAUCUGUAGUGGUUCACUCCUUAAGUGUUCUCUUACAUCUAAAGAAAGUUAAAUGUGAAAUUAAGUCAUUAUUGAAGCACUACAAUAUCUAUCAGAUUGUAAAAGCAGGGCAUAAGUAUUAUAUAUUGAAAAAUAAAUUUUACUCUUUGGUCCUCAACUUCUUGGUAAGAUCCAAUUCUUUGAAGAUGUUGUUUUGGUUUUAAUACGAAAGUGCAUUACCUUUCAAAUUAAAGAUAACUCAUCCCUUUAUUAAAUUGAAUGCAAUGAUGGGAAAUAUUUUUGGCAAUGGAAAGUAGAGUACUUGUUCUAACUUGUGAUAUAACCAGGUUGGAGAGUGAUUAUGCUUGUGAUUGUUGAAUGUGACUGAAUUCUGACUUGAGGUCAACAUAUAAUAAUAAUCUACAAGUCUUGUAACAGAAAAUAUGUUUACCACUAUGCUUACUGAAAUUAAUUCAUGAAAUGGCCGAUUAAGAUUCCAAUUUUUUUCUUGGAACAGAGCAAUCAUAUAGUCGCACUGAAGGUUCUUUUUCUAUUUGGAUUUGUAGCAAAAGAUAUUGUGAUUGCCUAUUUGUCUUUUUCUGCUUAUGAGCAAUACGGUGUACAUUAGUACCACGUAGCAACUCUAUUGUCUUUGUGUAUUGAUUUUGGCAUUAAGUGCCUCUGGUGACCUAUUUGUUUCAUUUUUCUUACUUGCUAUUAUGUUUAAAUAUGUGCAGGAAGACUGCUUAUACGACUUGCCUUACAAUACUGGGUAUCGAAUUUCCGUGCUACGUUUACGGAAGACAAGGGAUGAAAUUAUGAAGUGUACUCUCACUAUAUAUGUAUAUAUAUACUUUGAUUGAAGAACUGUGGUAGUUUUAGAUGGUUAAUUGUAAAGAUAAUGAAUGAUUAUGUAGUGGAUGAUUUUGUUAAGUUAAUAAUAUUUUAGUUUUUUGUAUUUUUGCCAUUAUUUGCUAUGGGGACAUUAUAAUUCGUUACUAAAGUAUUGAACAAGUUUUAAUAUAGUAAUAAUUUUUUAUACAUUUAGCAACAAAUUUUCGUUGCUAAUUACAUUAAAAAUAUAAUAUUUGGCAACGAAAAAUUAACCUAAUAAC